rnacentral:rRNA from 1 species
UUGACGGCGACCGGCGCACGGGUGAGUAACGCGUAUCCAACCUGCCCUUUACUAUGGGACAGCCCGUCGAAAGGCGGAUUAAUACCGUAUGUUGUCAUGUUGAUGCAUAUUUUCAUGACCAAAGGCUUCGGCCGGUAAAGGAUGGGGAUGCGUCUGAUUAGCUUGCCGGCGGGGUAACGGCCCACCGGGGCGACGAUCAGUAGGGGUUCUGAGAGGAAGGUCCCCCACAUUGGAACUGAGACACGGUCCAAACUCCUACGGAAGGCAGCAG